rnacentral:rRNA from 1 species
GACGUAGGGGCGCGAGCGUUGCUCGGAAUCACUGGGCGUAAAGGGUGCGUAGGCGGGUCUUUAAGUCAGGGUGAAAUCCUGGAGCUCAACUCCAGAACUGCCUUUGAUACUGAAGAUCUUGAGUCCGGAAGAGGUGAGUGGAACUGCGAGUGUAGAGGUGAAAUUCGUAGAUAUUCGCAAGAACACCAGUGGCGAAGGCGGCUCACUGGCCCGGUACGUGACGCUGAGGCACGAAAGCGUGGGGAGCAACAGGGAUUAAGA